UGGGGAAUUUUGGACAAUGGGGGAAACCCUGAUCCAGCCAUCCCGCGUGUGCGAUGAAGGCCUUCGGGUUGUAAAGCACUUUUGGCAGGAAAGAAAACGUCGCGGGUUAAAUACCCGCGAAACUGACGGUACCUGCAGAAUAAGCACCGGCUAACUACGUGCCAGCAGCCGCGGUAAUACGUAGGGUGCAAGCGUUAAUCGGAAUUACUGGGCGUAAAGCGUGCGCAGGCGGUUCGGAAAGAAAGAUGUGAAAUCCCAGAGCUUACUUUGGAACUGCAUUUUUAACUACCGGGCUAGAGUGUGUCAGAGGGAGGUGGAAUUCCGCGUGUAGCAGUGAAAUGCGUAGAUAUGCGGAGGAACACCGAUGGCGAAGGCAGCCUCCUGGGAUAACACUGACGCUCAUGCACGAAAGCGUGGGGAGCAAACAGGAUUAGAUACCCUGGUAGUCCACGCCCUAAAACGAUGUCAACUAGCUGUUGGGGGCUUCGGGCCUUGGUAGCGCAGCUAACGCGUGAAGUUGACCGCCUGGGGAGUACGGUCGCAAGAUUUAAAAA
rnacentral:rRNA from 1 species